GCCCUUCUUCUGCCAAUACAUCAAUACAUUCUUCUGCCACUUCAAAAUACAAACUCAAAACAUAAAGAAGGAAAAUAUAACCCAGGAGAUAGAUAAUUCUCCCUGGCAAGAGAACAAAUCUUGCCCCACCAAAGUUGCUGAAAUUUCUAGGAAUCUUCUUUUGCUCAGCUCCUCCUUAUUUAAGCUUUUCCUCCACAUGCUGCAAUACAAUUGGCAUCUCCAGGUAUCCUAUCCUCUGCAACUUCCUCUAACACAAUAUGACAUUCUCUCUCCUCCAAUUGAGAACCGCCUAAUUCUGCAUAUUUCCUUCUAGCUGGUAUAUUGGCUCCUGAAACUUCUAUUCUUUUGUUUCUUCUGCAGUCUACUUGUAAUGGUCCCG
rnacentral:misc_RNA from 1 species